UAAAAAGCAAAAUACGGCUGAUGAAACGAACUGCUGGUAACCAAGCUUUCUAGAAGGUAUGACUUAUUCUUUUGUUAUCCAUUUCAUUUUCUUUUUUUCUCCCUUUUAUAUAGAAUGUAAAACAAAUAUUCGUGGCUUACCGAAUGAAUAUAGAAACUUAUCUUUUAAAACCAAAGGCAGAAUGUUAUAUUCAAUGGUACUAGGACUCCCUCAUUCAAAAAUUCAUCUAGACACGGACUAUUCAAUAAUGUGCAAUGAUCGUACUUUACAUACGUUUAUUAUCAGAAUGAAAACAUAAUUAUUUGGUGAGGGGUUCGGAAGCUGAACUUAAGUUCCGUUGUUUACGAACAAGAAUAAGUUGGAAAAGUAUAUCAAUGCCUUUUUCAUGUAGCUGUUAUUUAUUGAAAUAUGUUAAUUGACGAUAUGAAAUAUCAGAAAAGUUAAGGAAAAGUGCAUUAUAUACUUCAUUGGGUGAGAAAUGAGAUUACGUACAAGAAGCGGACGAUACAAAUAAUAUUUAUCAAAGGUACCAAGAUCAUAAUUUAGUACGACAGACGCGCGUUUCGUCUACAUAAGACUCAUCAUUGACGCUUAUAUCAUAAUAUUUAUCAAGCCAAACAAGAAUAAAGUUGAAGAGCAUUGAGGAUUCAAAAUUCCAAAACGUUGUGCCAAAUAUGGCUAAGGUAAUCUAUUCCUGGGAUAAGAACAUCCUUAGUUUUUAUAAAAUUCAAAGUUUUGUAAACAGGAAUUUUAUAAAAAUUACCAAAUAAUUGAUAUUCAUUACGGUGCUGACUACUGGGCUAGUUAUACCCUCGGGGACGAAACGUCCACCAGCAGUGGCAUCGACCCAGUAGUGUAAAUAGUUAUCAAAUGUACCAGAAAACAUCAUUCAAUUUUGAACUCAAUCUUAGUUUUGUGGUCAUAUCCAUGCAUUGUGGAUAGUUUCAUAACAUUUCGUUGAGGUAAACUAAAGUUCGAAACAGAAAUUAACUAUUGGAGGUAUGCAUUGACGUACAUAUGACCAAGAGUAACAUUUAAUGGCUACUCUGCUGCAUGUAGUUAUCAAAGGCUUAUAAUUUGAUACGCCAGACGCGCGUUUAGUCCUUAUAAGAGUAAUGAGUGACACUCAAAAUGGUAAGAAAGUCAAACAAGUAUAAAAUUGAUGAGUAUUCAGGACCCAAAUUUCCAAAAUAUUGUGCAAAAUACGGCUUAGGUAAUCUAUGUCUGGGAUAAGAAAAUCCUUAGUAUUUUGAAUAAUUCGUGCAUUUACAAACAAUUAAUGGCUUCCGAUACAGUUUCAAGGGAGUUAACUCUUGGCGCGACGUUAAGUGUUUGAAUUCACACAAAACGUAACUUCUUGCGGGACGUAAUGCGUGUAAUUUUCCGGAAUAAGAAACGUAAUGUGGAAUUUCGAUUUCUCCCGCAUGUUAAAUUCUACGCCAUUACUAUUAGUGUAUUUGAUUCUAUGAGGAUAAAAGUCUAAUAACUUCAUUACAAAUAAAACAAAUUACUGUUUCUUUGAGAUCUUCAACAAAAUAUCGUAUAGUGAACAAUCUCAAGACGAAUGACCCUUUUGGUGCAUGUCAAUUAUAAUUUUUAUUAUCAUUCAUCUUCCAUGACAUUUUAUUACAGCACAGGAAACCAAUGAUAUUUUAAAAGUAAUACCGAAAAUGUAGGUGCACGCCGCUAAUAUAAACAAUGAUACAACUUUUAUAAAAGAACAAAGUUCUUAUUUCUUCCACGUUGCACGUAUUUUAUCUAACAAAAGGCAAUAGCUAACAAUAGUUUAUGCACCCGUAAAAAUUUUUACGGGACGUAUUAUAUUGAUUAUUUGGAAAACAAAAGGGCCUGGAGUGGAGUAUGUUUUAAUCAACAACAUUGUCUUAUAAUAAGUAAAAAUAAAGUUGAAUUCUUUGAUUCGCUGUUUUACGUCAUGCCGGCUAACAAAUUGAAAACUGUACCUUUACGCCUUAUUUAAAGUCCAGAUUUUUAGUAUUCGUUUUGUCAUCUGAGAAAGUCAUACUGAUUAAAAUACUACAAUAGGGAACAAUUUGACAAUGCUUAUUAUGACCCGUGUAUAUAGUAAAAUCCUAAAUACACCGUUCUAUAUAAGCUAUAUAUAAAGUUGAAUUUUUGAUUUGUCGUUUUGCCCCAUGACGGCUGACAAAUUGGACCUCAUUAUUUCAGUAUUAUAGAUAGUUUCAUUGUUUGGACAAUUUAAAAGCAUUCUUUAGCUAAUUGAAGAUUCUCCUUUAAACGAUUUUGCUUUUGUUUUCUGACCACAUAAAACAGAAGACGUGGUAUAAUUGCCAAUAAGACAACUCCCAACAAGAGAAAAACAUGACACAGAAAUUAAUAACUAUGUCACCGUAUGGUCUUCAACAAUAAGCAAAGCCCAUAUAGCAUAGUCAGAUUUGAAAGGUCACGAAAUGACAAUGUAAAACAAUUCAAACGAAAAAAGUAACGGCCUAAUUUACGUGCUGCAAUUUAUGUACAAAAAAAGAAGUUCCGUUUGCAGGAUAAUGCUGAAUUCACACGUACAUGUAAUUCGAAUUCGAUUCGCAUUAACUAAUUGGAAUUAGUUAGAUUCGUAUUCGAAAUGUUUUACAUCCUAUCGUAAAUUCUAAUUCGAAUUGCAAUACGCGUUAAAUUUGAGUUACUGUCCAAACGACGUUAACUUUUAAUUCGUAUCAACAAAUCCGGAUUUCUCAGGAACGUGAAUAAAAGGAUUUUAAGGAAUAUUUGUAAUGAAAAAGGAGCCCACCAAACAAAACAAAAUAAAUCUAGAGGUCAACAUUCGGUAUGAAACAAUAUACGAGUGUGUACAGUAAAUGUACCUGUAUGUCAAGUUCUGAAUUGCCGAGUCUUUAAUUUUAAAAGCCGUAAACAUUAUCAACAGUCCGUAAUACCUUUUCUUCAGAUGUUUCUUACUAAGACCACAAACAGAGAGAGAGGUUUGUGUUAUUCACAUGAUUUGAUUUUCGGAAACAAUAUUACCAACUUAUAGAUAGUAAUUUACAUGCAAAAUAAUCUGAAAAAUGUCGCCGGUAAUUUGCAGAGAUAACGUCUAAAUUAUCUGCCUGCGACGUCGUGCACUUUAGCGCUAACGUUGAGGUUAUAAAGGGGGGACGCAAUUUUGAGAAUAUAUCGCGUUUUUCAUUGAAUUAAGCUCGGUGACCUAUAUUUUUUCCUUGAGAUAAUUUGGAUUUGGAGAAAGCAUAAAAAAAUGCAGUUUAUGCAGAAAAAUGCUUGAAAUGACAUUUUCGGAAACAGUUUAUUUCCAUAUUUUUAGGUUUAAAAAAAAUACCACUUUGAGCAUAUGGUCCGCAAUGUCAAGCAAGGCUUGAAUAAUUGUAUAGUUAGUCGUGUAGUGAUUUAUUUUUUCCCCUUUUUGUCACUUAUCACAGCUUUAGAUUGAACCCGAUCUUAAUAGUUUACGACGAAAAUAUCUGCUCCCAAACAUUUUUUAACAUUGCUUAAUUUUUUUAAAGAAUUGCAUAAAUCCUCAAUUUUCAGCCUCACUUUUCCCGAAAAACGAGCACGGUUACCUAUGUUUUAUUUUAUGUUUUAUUUUAUAACACGACAAUGCCUACAACAUAUUAAAAAAUUAUAAGAAUGACAUUUUAUCGAGAAACUGUAUCGGAUGCCCUUAGGUUUUUUUUAAAUUUUUAAAAGAGCAUAUAAUUGAUAUCCAUAUCAACACCGAAGUGCUGACUACUGGGCUGGUGAUAUACUCCGAAACGUCCACCAUCAGUGGCAUCGAUCCAGUAAAUACUUACCAAAGGUAUCAGACUUAUAAUUUGAUAUGCAUGAAUAAAAACGAAACAAACAAACACAGAAAAAAAGUUCAGGAAUAUCUAAAGGAAGAACUAAUUGACUAUUUUUAUUUAGAUUUUCAAGUGUAUCUAACUCUGAAGCAUGCAGAAGUUUCUUGCUAUCCUAGGUCUAGUUGUUUUCCUAGCUGGUGAGUUGCACAUUAUAUAUUAUCAACAGUAUUAAGUUGAAAAAGGGAAAAUAUAUCAAUAUAUAAACAAAUUAGUUCUCUAAACUUGCUUACCCUAACCUGUUUGUAGUAGUGUGUUGAUGAGUUGCUCUCACAAUGACGAAGAUCCUAUUGCACCUUUUAUGCAAAGCGUUCAGUUGAUACCAAGAAAGAUAAUUAUGCAAAAGAAUUGUCUAAUUAUCAAAUCACGUUGGAAAAAAUGUUUUGCAAAGUCCUAUUUUAUUAAAAUAAUCACAUGUUUAGACGAACAGCAAUCAAAGAGAGAUGUACGAAAAUUUACAGUGCAAAGUUAACAAUUACAAAAACAAGAUUAAUUAUCAAGCUAAAGAACAAUACUGAUAAUUAACCACGAGCACUUGUGAAUUAAUAUCUUAAUCAUUUGAUAUUUUUUUUUCUAUAAUUCUUUUUGUUUGUCUGCAUGAUUAGUUAUUCUUUAAUUAACGAGUAUUAUAACGUAGUAUGUUUGCAUGCAGUCUUAUGUUUAGAAACCCUGCAUCGACGCCUUUAUAUUGGAUGUUUUCUAGUUCUCUCUCUCUCUCUAGUCAUGCCUAACGUGACGUUAUGUCAAAUUGGAAGUUAUAACGUUACUUCUAUGAUUCAUUCGGGACGUCGAUUUGACAGCUUUUAAAAAGGAAAGUCACAAAAAUACUGAACUUAGAGGAAAAUCAAUUCGGAAAGUCCAUAAUCACAUGGCAAAAUCAAAUAACAAAACGCGUCAAAAACGAAUAGACAAGAACUGUCAUUUUCCUGACUUUGUACAGGCAGAGCAAGACAUAAUUUUGAAAACUUUAUUUCCAUAAACGGAUCCACACCUAAAUAUAUUGGAUGUUGAUUGUUGAUAUUUCUAGACAUUAAAUAUGUAUUGAAAUGCAUAUAGAAAUGAAAGAGGUCCUUUGUCGUUAUAACUGCAAAAACUCUAAACUAUUAUGACAUAAUUUCAGUUGUGGAACAAACUUCAGGACAGAUAUGUUCUGAGAAUUUUUGCCGUUUUCAGACAAAUAACUGUGGAUGUCAAGGCUGUUGUGUGGGGAAAUUAGGUUUAAAGUUUGGUAGAUGUGAACGACGUUCACCACCGGUCUCUAGUUGUUUCUGUUAUCGAAAUGAUCGUAAGUAUUAGACGUGAAAAAUCGCACUUUGUUUUGUUCGUACUAAGGUUGUAUUCAAUCUGAGUACACAAGGAUAAUACAUUUAGUAUAGAAAUAAAAAAAAAUAUCAAGGAUCUGCAUGGAUUUACGGGUAAUGGAAAAUAUUAAAUCAUUGUAUAGUGGCUAAAUAGAUGCUUAUGGUAAAAUAUAUUUCACUCGGAAAUAUUUCGGAAUUGAUGAAGUUUUGUAUGCUUUUACAAUAUAAUGUUAAUUACAAUUUUAUCACAUUGGUCUCAUGUGUAAUGUUCUAAAAGUAUUUGUAGUCUUUUUUAUCCAUAAAAAUCAAUAAGUCAGAAUAUGUAGCGUGAAAAAUAGUAUUAAUAUAUAAAAUAAAAGAAAUAUAACGUAGUGAUGGUGUCACGUUGGAGGAUCGUUUUUGUUAUAUAAUGUUUUCAUACAUUUCUCAUAUCUAAAAGAGGGGAAAGAUACUGAAAGGAUAUUCAAGUUUACAAGUUGAUAACACACUGACAAUGGCAUAUCAAAACAAUCUACAAUAAACAAAAUACAACAUAUAACACUUAAAAACGAGCAACAAGAACACAACAAAGGAAAAGGAUUAUUCUCAGGUUCUCCGAAGAGGUAAGCAGAUCUUGCCCCAUUGGCCGAACACCAAAAGGAGAAAGACAUAAAAAGAUAUCACGAUGACCCGUAAUAUUCUGUUUUCGUUCAAUGUUGGUCACAUUUAUUAGCCUUAUUUAAAUUUCAUUAGGUGACUAUAUCGAUAUAAGCCUCAUCUUAUAUUAUUGGCCAAUGGGUGCCCAGGCUAAAAUAGUUUGAGUCACAAUUUUUUUAAUUUAUCAAAUUCACCUUCUUUUCAACUAAAUAGUAAUUUUUCUAAAAAAUAUUAUAUAUAUAUAUCUAAAGUAUGAAUACGUAGCAUAGUUAUAUCUUAGAAAAGAACAGGGUCGAGUUAAACACAUGCGAUAAAGAAAAGUAACUGCACCGUUUUUAAAUUAGAAAAGUAUUUAUAUCGGUUAAUGCAAGUGUACUUUUUCAGCUGAUGGAGCAGCAGCUGCCGAAUCGUCAGAAAAUUAACCGCCAGUUUAGAACUAUGAAAAGAUGGCAGAGAUGUUGGUUCUGAAAUAAAAUACUAAAAAGAACUAUCUGAUGAAUGUAUUUUGUUAUUCUUGUGAAUGCAAACAUAGGAUUUUCUUGGGUUUUUCC
rnacentral:lncRNA from 1 species